rnacentral:lncRNA from 1 species
CUUGGUCUUAUUUUCAGGGAAAUACGGUACCAGUGUGAGCUGGGACAUAUUUUGACUUCUACACUGCCACAACUUGGGAAAAGCAGGGGGCCCUCGAAAAAACAGAAUUGCUAGACCCCAAAACUGCAGACCUUAGAAGAAAACAACACAUUCAAAAUCACAGAGAAUUUUUUUGUUUGGGUUGGGGGGGGUUGUUUGUUUUUUGAGACAGGGUCUCACUAUGUAUUCCAGACUGGCCUGAAACUCCUAGUGAUCCUCCUGCCUCAGCCUCCUGGGUGCUGAGACUAGAGGCAUAUGCCACUACACCCAGCUGAAAAUUUAUUUUUCUUUCUUUUUCCCGCUUUGUACAUAGCUUUUAUUAUUUACAUAAUAUAAUAUACCAUCGAUGCUAAAUAGCGUGAUCAUGUGCAGUACAUAAGUGUGACCUGUCGGUUCACAUCUGUAGCUCUAACUCAGAACAAAGGUUCAUGAAAUAGAAAGCAAAACUGCUUUCAUAAAAGUGAAAACGGACUGAGCGCUGCAAUCCGUCAGCAGUGCCUCGGGCACACAGUUAGCGAUUUACAGCCGACGCCUGUAACUGUACUCGUUCAUCUAUAAGAGCACAUUCGCGCAGCGCAAAAACCUCCCGGUCUAUCACAGCGCAGCAUCGGAGAGGGCGGCAACGAAGUAACCGCCUUCCGCAUUGCGACUGCGCAGUGCGUGGACCGUGCAGCCCCUGCCAUUGGCCGGCUCCGGCUGCGCCCCUCCGCACGGAGGGAUCCGCGAGAGGCGCCCUGCGGCUGUGGGCUUAAGCCUCCCCCGCAGAGGGGCGCAGUUACCCAAGAAAGGUCUUCCAAGAGCUUCACACAUUCUUUCCCGAGCCAAAACAUUCAACAAGAGAUGCACAUGAGAAAUUGACUGCCCAGAUAUCUUGGCAACUUAAAAAAUUCAGGUUCAACCAGGUGGCACACCUGUGAUCCCCGCACUCGGGAGGCCGAGGCAGGAGGAGAGCAGCGAGUUGGAGGCCGGCGUGGGCUACGCAGUGAGCUCAAGGCCAGCCUGAACCACAUAGCGGAACCCCGGCUCAGAAAACCAAAAGAAUGAGAAGAGCCAGACACCGGGCAGAUGCCGGCCAGCACAAGCUGCAAAAGUGACCUCAGG